rnacentral:lncRNA from 1 species
GUUUUUUUUAACUUAUAAUUUGAUAUAUCUGUUAAUGUUAUAAAUACAAUGUUUACAUAAUCGAGCAGAGGAAUGGGAGAAAGCCAGAAAUCCAUUGAAAGAUACUUUUAAUCCACUUAGGAAUACUUACGUAAAUACAUCUUGAAAACUUAAACUGGAAAUAAGCUUACACCAGAAUGAAACCAGUAGGCAAGAAACACAAUCUAUUUGAACAAGCAGUUUUUCCCGUAUCUUCUGUUUCACUCAGCUCUAUAAACAUUUGUGAACCACGUGGGAUGAAUUGGAGGGAUACAGGCAUGGAUGACCUGUAAUGCUUGCCCAUAGGCUGUGCAGGGGCUGGCUGUGGUCAGGACUCAGCAGGUGAAGGUGCCUGCUGCCCAGCCUGAUGAUCCGAGUCCACUUUCUGGAAUCUCCAUGGUUGACUGCCUCCAAGAGGUACAGUAUACACUUAUCAAGUAAUGGUACGGUUUACUGCUUAGCUAGCCAAUCCUGGAGCCCUAUCCAGUUUCUCUGUCCUUUAGACUGCCGAGAGGGGACUGGCCAUCUACCUCUCAUAGGCAAUGCUGUCCCUUUGAUCCUGCAGGCCAACAGCUCCCUCUGGUGGUCUCUAGUGGAAGUCUCGACUGUAAGGGGCUUCUGUCUCCUGGGAGGUGGAUGGAGUGGAGAAGGCGAGAUCAGCCGUGGUUCUAGUGGACUCUGCACAGCGCUCCGCACCGUUCAGAUCCCAUAUUUGCCUGAGUGGGGGAGAGGGAACUUGGGAGAGCGUCAGUGAGCCUUGUUACUGUGAUAAAAUAAAUGUCUGGCAAAAACAAAAAGCCUCGGAGGAAAGAGACAGCAACACUGACGAAUGAGGUCAGCGGGACCUGCUGAGUACCCAGUGGAUGUGGAGAACAGUGGAGGCAGAGUGCCCGCUCAGAUUACAUGAUUAACUCUCUCGGUCACCAGUGCCUAGCAUCCAGGCUGGGCCCCAAGGAUGCAGAGGCCAGUAGGACCCAGAGACCUCCUGGCCGGAGAGAAUGGCAGGCCCGUAGCUGGGGGUUGGAUGCCAUCCGAUAGGUGUUUGGGGAAUAUUCUGGAGGGCAAAGGGCACUGAUGCCAGUGGAUAAAAGGGCUCUUGGUUACAAGAACCAGCACUGGGUUAGAUGAAUGCUACCUGUCCCAGUUGCGGUUCCUAUUGCUAGGGUGAAGCACCGUGACCAAAAGCAAGUUGGGGAGGGAACCGUUUGUUGGCCUUACACUUCCUCAUCCAUAAUCCAUCAUUGAGGGAAGUCAGGACAGAAACUCAAGCAGGGCAGGAUCCUGGAGACAGAGGCUGAUGCAGAGGCCAUGGAGGGGUGCUGUUUACUGGGUUGCUUCCCAUGGCUUGCUCAGUCUGCUUUCUUAUAGGAUCCAGGACCACCAGAUCAAAUAUGCCACCACCCAAUGGGCUGGGCCCUCACCCACCAAUCAAUCACUAAGGAAAUGCUCUAUACAUUUGCUUACAGCCCAGUCUUCUGCAGGCGUUUUCUCAUCUGGGGGUCCCUCC